rnacentral:tRNA from 1 species
UGGGGUAUAGCUUAGUGGUAGAGUGCUUGCCUAGUAUGCAUGAGGCUAUGAGUUCAUUCCCCAG